rnacentral:tRNA from 1 species
GCUCCCAUGGCGUAGUGGUCACUGCACUCGCCUUGCACGCGGGAGACCCGGGUUCGAUUUCCGGCGAGGUCA